ensembl:lncRNA
UUGAUAGUUUGAAAUUUAAACAUUUUAUAUGAUCCUACACUUUUUACUUAGAUGAUCGUGUGUAUAUAUACGCAAUUGUAUAACGCUCGAUUCAUGUGUCUAUAAUCUUCAAAUUUAGAAUAAGUGUUAUUAGGGUUUUUUUCAUAUAUUUAUACUUAUAUAUAUAUGCAUACAUAGAUAUAUUUUUUUUAAACAUUAUAUGAUUCAUUCAUCAUUUACAACUGCUUUUUUUUUUUUCUCUUUCUUUCUUUUUGUAUUAAUUUUUUAAAUUUUAAUUUGCGAAAAUAAGAAAAGCAAAAUAUUUUCACAUGUGAAUAAAUACGAUAUAAUUUGUAUAUAUUUUUUAUAUUCUGCAUAUACAUACUUAUUUGCAUAACAUAUACAUAAAUAUUUUUUUUUUUAUUUAUAUUUUAAACUUACGACGUACAUACAUACAGGCACAAACGAUAUUUCUACUAAUACGCUUGCAAUUUUUGGUAUUUUUACCUACAAAACUAAACACCAUAAAAACCAUCAUAAAAAAUAUUAUUGAAUAAAAAAAAAAAUGGUACAUUUUUUUUUUUUUUUUUUUAAACUCGUAUUGAAUUAGAAACACAUAGAUAAGAGGUUACAACGGAUAUAGGCUUUGUUUCGCACACACAUAGAAACGCUGUUGUGAUUCGAUUUCUUCAUGCUUCACAACGCGCGCUCUUAAGUUAAUUGUUAAGUUGGUAUAUAUAUAUAUAUAUAUGUGCAUAUGCAUGCAUAUUUCUCCUUUUUUUUUUAAAACCACUUCAACAUGUUUAAAAGUAUUAUACCAACAACUGUCGGAUUAAAUGAGUCAAAGUACAUACAUGCAAACAUAGAUGAGGAUAUUAAUUUUUAUAACAACAACAAUGACAAAUCGUCCAAUAAUAUCAACGAUUUAGAACACACCAUUCCUAUACUGUCACCUGAAGACGUGAUUAGUGUUUCAAAUAUAUACAACAUAAAAAUACAAAAUUUGGAAAAAUGUAUCACACCUGAAGAUAUAGCUACUGAAAUAUUAAAUACUAAGAAUUUGGAAAAUAAAAGAAAGUAUACGGAAAAAAAUGCUAAUGAUUUAAAAAAAAAAAAAAAAACAGCAUAUAGUAAUAAUAACAUGAGUAAUGGGCAUAAGUAUGAUAUAAAUGUUAAAAAUGACUAUAAAAAAAAUGUUAUAUUACAAGAUAACGUUUUAUAUCAAAAUAAUAAUAAUGCUGAACGCUAUGUACAACACCAGUUUGCAUAUACCCCUAUACAACGCAAUAAUACAUACAAAAGAUAUAGUGAUAACAUGAUAAUACACAGACAUAAUACUAUGUUAAAGGAUGAAAAUUAUAUUACGAACAACGGUAACUAUACUUAUAUUGGUCGUAACAAUAAUAAUAACAAGAACGCUUUUAAUACUGUUAACAGUAACAGUUUCAAUGACUUUUUUUCAUAUGGCCCUCACAUAAUACCGGCAAGACGAUCGAAUGAUACGUAUACCGCUUUUCAUAAUAAAUGUAAAAAUUACAACUACAACCACCAAUUAAACGGUAACAUAAGUUACAACUCUCAAGACAAAAUAAGUACACAACUAAUAAACGAAAUAGAUAUGAUAAGAUUGGCUUAUAAAAAACGAUACACUAUUAAUAAAAACAGUUUUAUUAAUGUUACUCAGUUACAUUCUAAUAAUAUAAAUUGUAGAGUUACACAUGAAGAUGUCCCUUUUGGUGGCGUAAGUAGUAUAAGUCAAACUAACAACAAACAGUACGACAAAACAUCUGAUCAUAAUUAUGCAUAUGACAAAGCAUCCAUUGACAACAAACACAACCAAAUGUACACAUACAACAAUAACAAAGAAACAAAAAAAAGUGUCGAACUCGAUUUGAACCCUAAUUCGAUUGAACAUAAAAAUGAUUACGAUGUGAUUAAUAUAAAUCCAGUUCCAAUUAUACAUAUUACGAACCAAGAAAGCUCAGACAAAAUAUUGGUUGAUAAUAAAAAAAUAAAUACAAAAAAUGUAAUAAAGAGAGAAAUGCAAGAUGAAUAUGUUAAAAAUAUAAAGUAUGAGAAUGAUAACUAUUGCGAUGGACACUUAAUGGAAAAUAAAGAAUACAUAUAUAACAAAACAAAUGUAACACAGCCAUUGUUAACUAAAACAAAUAAACAUGCAAUCUCAAAUAUUUAUGAUAAAUUAACGAUGCAAGAUAAAGACGGUUAUAUAAAUGAGGCCACUGUAAAAGUAGAAUUAGAGCAAAAUGUAUAUAAUAUAAAAAAUGAAAUAUUUGAAGAUGUAUUAACAAAAAGCGAACCAUUAACACAAAGAGAAACUUCUGAUCAAGUCGAUUAUAAUACUUUAUAUGAAAAAAAUAAAAAUACAAUUUAUUCAGAAGAUAAUGUGAAGGACUUUAUUUUACAUACGCAAAAAUGUGAACCAACCGAAUCAACAAUGUACAACGAAAAUGUAAGUCAUAUAUAUUAUCAGUUUGACGAAAUGAUUGAUUUGUUUAUAGAUAUUGAUUCAAACGAUAUAAAUAAAAAUAAAAAAAUGAAAAAAAUUAUUCUAUGUGCAGAAAACUGUCUGAAAACUGAACAAAAUCUGGUAUAUAAUAAUACACUUAAAUUAAAAACUGUGUUUGAUAAGAUUUUUGCUAAUGCUGAAGAAUUUUUAAAUAAAGAAAUAAAUUAUCGAACAGCAACAAAAUCGGCUCAAGUAAAUAAAUUAGUACCAACAACUGUGGUAAAAAAGGUAGCCUCGACGGUUUCGGCGAAUAAAACAGUUUUUACGAAGAAAACGACCACACGUGAGUGCGAUGGCGUAGUUGUUAAAGGCAUAGAAAAUGGUAUAGAAAAUGACACACGAAACGAAGGUAAUAACGACGAAGACGAUGAUGACAUAAGCAACGAUAGCAACAGAAGUAAUGAUAGCAACAGAAGUAAUGAUAGCAACAGAAGCAACGAAGGCGACACAAACCAACCCA